rnacentral:rRNA from 1 species
UACAGAGGUCUCAAGCGUUGUUCGGAUUCAUUGGGCGUAAAGGGUGCGUAGGUGGCGCUGUAAGUCGGGUGUGAAAUUUCGGAGCUUAACUCCGAAACUGCAUUCGAUACUGCGGUGCUUGAGGACUGGAGAGGAGACUGGAAUUCACGGUGUAGCAGUGAAAUGCGUAGAGAUCAUGAGGAAGACCAGUGGCGAAGGCGGGUCUCUGGACAGUUCCUGACACUGAGGCACGAAGGCCAGGGGAGCAAACGGG